rnacentral:rRNA from 1 species
CAGCGCCGCGGGAAUACGAAGGGUGCAAGCGUUACUCGGAAUUACUGGGCGUAAAGCGUGUGUAGGUGGUUGUUUAAGUCUGUCGUGAAAGCCCUGGGCUCAACCUGGGAAUUGCGAUGGAUACUGGGCGACUAGAGUGCGGUAGAGGAUAGAGGAAUUUCCGGUGUAGCAGUGAAAUGCGUAGAGAUCGGAAGGAACAUCUGUGGCGAAGGCGACUAUCUGGGCCAACACUGACACUGAGACACGAAAGCGUGGGGAGCAAACAGGAUUAGAUACCCCUGUAGUCCCUGUCUCUUAUACA